GUCUUAUCCUGUCCAUACAAAUAGUUAGUAUAAUUCUUGUAUCACUUAUUAUGGUACUUAACCUCAAUGGCAACACAAUCUUCUCCACAAUUUUUAAUAAGAUCAUGUAGUUGUUCUUUUUCUUUGUGCCAGCUUCGCGCAAUAGCCCUGCAUCUGAAGUUUCACACACAACAAGGGUUAUUCUUCACGGGUAAUAAUUUUGGAAUAAAUAUUAUUCAGGAGAUUAUUUUGCUACGCGAUCGCUGUGCCAUUUACUAGCAACUGUAUAAUGUUUUCAUUUAAUGAUAAAUAUACCAUAUAAUUACAAUGUAAGACAUACCAUGGCAAACAAAUCUGAUUGUUUCUCGCAUAUUAUGCAUACUGGGAGCAAAGUGAUGGGUGUAAAAGCCUUCUUUGGUGGAACAGUCUGCAACUUCACAGCCAAUUAAGAUUUCACUGCCUCAUGUUCUCUUUUCCUCCACUUUUUGCAACUUGUUUUAAUCACAAAGUCUUUUAUAGCAGUUCUCAUGGUAGUGCCAGUCGAGUUUCCAGUGCCUCCUGAGACCCCAUUUUAAGUGGGGCUUUAUUUUUUCAAAAUUAAGUUGGGGUGGGAAAGAAAAAAAAUUCAAACCAUAUUCCUUAAAAAUAACAAAUUUUUCCCUGUCUUUGUCUACUAUAAAGGGGCCCCGAAUUUCACAAUUUCACCAAUUCCUGUUUUGGGGGGGCCACCUGCUGCAAAUAUUCUGACCCUAUACAACUGAGGCUCAGACCAAUUUUCCCAAUGUACUGG